ACACAGUACCAGCAGACGCCAUAAGAACCUACCUUCAUAUUCCGGCAGAGCAUCUCAAUCAUGACCCCAUAUGCCAUUAAGUCCUGGGUCUCUCUCAAGCAGAGACUGCAAAUUGAUUUUGGAUCGAGAACACCAAAGCCAGGCCACCAGAGAUGCAAGUGGUGUCUUCAGAGCGUGUCCUCCCAUGUCUAAAGGAUUGAUUAAAGAGCACCCUCAUAGAGGGAAAUAACGCGGGCCAGAAAAAGAGGCUGUUUAAUGCCCACCUCUCAUGUCCCUCAGAUUGGAUGCUGAUGUGGUCACUUCCUUCAUCAAACUGUUAUGGUUCAAUAAGCAUACUCAAGCUAUUAUAUUGGAAACAAGUAAUACAGGUUAAACAUGAAAUAAUAAAAUAACUAUUGAAUUUAUGUCUGCAUUGACCCUAUCUGGAUUGACCCUGGUAGGGGUUAGUCCUUGUAAAUAUAUAUAUGUUUGCUUUGGCUCAUCACUUGACUUGCCUAAACAUACCGACCUCUGUUUAAAAUGCACAUUACACACUGGGGGGUCUAUGCCAUUCAUUUAAAUAGCUGUGGAUCAGUGCCAGUGCUCGAUCAUUGAUUUAUGAAAGGUUAUAAAAACAAUCCUCUCCAACACUGUGUAUGCGUCUCUUCAGUGUAUCUUUGUGUUUAAAAGUAGAUACUGUAUGUAGUGCUACUUGAGCCCUAUUUUGAAUGCCAAAAGUUAAAAAUAAAAAAUAAACCAAUUCUCGGAAAUGAGUGAUCAGUAGUAGAAAAAGUAUUUCUUAAAAUUGCAUUUAAAAAGAAUAGAAAUAUAUCUCCAAAUCUGGAACAUAAUGUUAUAUUGCAAUAGAAGAAAAAAAGCUUUAAUAUAGUACUUGCACUGAGACUUUGAAUGUAAAAAACACAUAACCAGCAUGAGUUCUCAUUCUUCUGUGGAGGUUUACCUUUUUCCCCAAAAAAGUUUUGGUGGGGGACUUCAUGCAUGUGGUACAAUAAAGUAGUCACCUACAACAUCACACUUAAAAACUCAGUAACUUAAGAGAGUAGAUCACUAAACUUUACAGCUAAAACCUCAUUGUUCUAAAAAUCACUGAAUUGUUUUAUGACAGUCAUUUGUUGUCCCUUAAGUGUAUAUAAUUACCAUCUACUUGAAAUCCAGUUGAACCUCCACCAAAAUGCUGUUAUUCAACUUGUCUGUGUGAGUGCUUUUUCACCAAAAAAACUGGCCAGGGUUAACUAUUAUACACUUAAUUUGCAUACCUCAUGGUGCUGUAUGAAAUAAUGCAUGACUAACCCGCCCUUCUAAUAGUUUCCCAUAGUAAAAGCACAGCAAAGUGUAAUAAAGCAUAGUGAAAGCAUGGUAAACACAUAGGUAAAAAUUGUAAAGACCAGCAAGGUAGGGUAAAGCAUACUAUUAUUAACCCACUAUAUAUUUAAUAUAAAUAUAAGCAGUAGUAAUAUGUAAUUAGAAUUAAUACUGCUUUAACAACAAUUGGUUUAAUUUAAUUGCACAAAACUAGAACCAAACAACUAAGUUGUAUAUUUGAAGUUCACACACAAGGUGUUUUGUUUUUCAUUUUGUAACAUCAACAUGAUUUUUUCUCCUUUCCAAAAAUAGGAGUUGACAAAAAUGGCAUGACCAGUUUGCAGCGUGCCAAGCUAAUUUCUAUGCACAAUUCUGACCCUAAUUUACUUAAAGCAUUAGUUUUACAUAAAGCAUCUCUAAUUGUAAAGUGUCACGCAUGUGAUUACCACAAUGCUGAUAUAUCAUACUAUAAAAUACAUUUUGUUUUAUAUAUAAAUAUAGAUUUGACAUACAUUGUAUUUUAGGUAGUAAAUUACAAUUGUGGUCAAUCUUAUUUUAGCAUUUAGUCGAGUAUUAUAAUCCAGAAACUGCAUUUAUGGCAGAGAAUAUAAUAUCCAUAAUGAUAAUACUGUCUAAGCCAUAUAAAAUGCAGGUCAUAAUUAUGUUUUUUUUCCCCAUUUGCCACAAAAAUAUCUUAUGGAAAAUAACAAAAAUGUAUUUGACUCUUUAAAAAAGUGUGUUUUUUUGCAUGUCUUUGUAAUUUAAUCCCACUUGAAAAUAAAUGUAGCUUUGAUGUCCAGUACACUGUCAAGAUGAACCGUUAUAGAAACCAGUUAAAAGAGCAUUAAGUAGCUAAGUGUCAGAUCUGAUUUAAGACUACAUGGGUCAAUGCCCUGGAAAGAGCCCCCAGCUGGUGCUGUGCAUGUUCAGUGUCAGAUCAUUAGAAAUAAUGGCUAAUCCUGAACUGGGAAUCUGUUAGUGGUGUAACUUUUCAUAUAAACACAAAUUAGAGGUGGGAUUUACAUAUAAAUAUGAUUAUGAAUGGUAGUAGAGAGCUAAAAUAAUAUAUUUAUGUAACAUUGACAGAAAAAAAAAAUCUAUAUUACAGAAUGUCAUUUUCAGCACGGAGAAUCCUCAAUGAAUGAAUGAUUUAUUGAUUGCAAUUUCAGAUGAUUUAAUUGACUGUGAGGGGCUUAGGCCUGAGUGAAUGAUAAAUGUGGCCUAUGGCCUCGUCCCUGGGUGCGGUGUGUUGUAUGACAUAUUUGCUUGUCGCAUCACGUCCGGUGUGUAGAGGCCUUUAGUCUGUUAAACGGCACCCUAGGCGUACAGAUAUUGGAUAUUGGACCAUAUUUGAACGCCCUGUAGUGUGUUAUUACUUUCUUUAUAAACAGUGUUUUUAUAAUUAGGAGAAUGUUUAGUCCACAAGUUCUAUCAUUAAACAUAUCUAGAUUGUAGAUUUACAGGUUCCAGGUCCAUUUUCUGUAUCCAAGGGCAUAACUGGUUAUACAAUUUAAUGGUAUAAAUGCACACUGCUGGGAAUAAAAGACUCGCAUUGCAUAGCAGUUUGAGCCAUUCCAGCUUUUAAAGCAAGCUUAUUUAAACACACCUGAGCCUAAUUAGACACACCACACACAUUUUAUACAGGUGACUUACAAUAAGGGCUCACAGGAGAACCUGGAAUGGCUCAAACUGUUAUGCAAUGGGAGUCUUAAAUCAUUCCCUGCACUGUUACAUCAUGACACUAAACAGAAGAGGUUGAAAUCUGAAACAAAUGGCACAAAAAUGAAUAUUGGAUAUACCAAAGCCCUUGUGUAUUUUCCCAAAUGCAAGUACAAAAUGUUCUCAGCAUAAGACAACAAUUGUAGCAGUGCAAAACUGGCAAGAAAUAACUUCGGGGAUGAUUCGAUUCACUUUAAGCAGGAAAAAGGGCAUUUCAGGAAAACAUAAAUGAAUGCAAUUAACAGAGCCAAUGUGGAACAUUUUUUUAAUUUUUGAUUUGAUUAACUUAUUCUAAUUCAUUAAUCAAAAUAAACAUGGAUCUGAUGUACAUCUAAUGUAUUGUCCUAAAAUAAUUGUACCUAGCUAAAACUUAAUUGAAUUAGGUCCUUAGUUACAGGAAGGUAGUUUCAUGCUUGUUUUAUAAGGUUAAAAUGGAUUUCAUUCAUCUCUGAAAACGUUGUCUUUGCAUCACUAUAUUGCCACUUGUGUGUAUCCACCACUUGUCCCUAAUAGGUUCAUUUUCAAUAUUUGUGCAUGCCGAACUUCAUAGCAUUGUUAUUUUGCAUUUGAAAUAUUUUAGUUCCACAGUUUUGUCUUUUCAACCAUUAUGGCAGGCCUGUAUUUCAUCACAGUGGAGUGCUUGGAGAUGUGUGUUGGUUGGUCUUUGGUGGAAUGUAUAGUAUC